rnacentral:rRNA from 1 species
GUUUGCGGAUGUUUAAGGAGUAUAAUAUUGGACAACAAAAUGUGUCCGGACUCCACAAGACAUACACGUCCGCUCGGACGUGGUUUUGCUGGAGAGGAUAAAUAAAGAAUAAUAUCCCGGCGUCCCGGGGCCGUUCAAAUGGAUCCGAUUUUGGCGGCGCCGCGUGGGGCUGCCAUCCCCUCCCCCUGCCUGCCUCUUCUUCUCUAUAAAGAAACGUGAAGCCGUAGCCUCCUCCGCGUGAGUCUUUCCUUCUCAGCACCACAGCCUCUUCCGUUUCUCUCCUCUCGUCGUAUUCUUCUAACACGCCCACGAUGGCAGCCGCUCGCCGGGACCUCCGUCGCCGGUCUGGCCUCGUGCUCGCCGGAGUCCUGCACUUCAGACGUCAAGAUUCCACGGCCAGUCCUGCCGUUUCUUGGCCGGAUCUCACCUGUUAGGCAUCAUCCCGAUGCAUGGUGCUGUCUCUUCGCCGGACGGGGCACGCCGGCGGGUCUUGCGGC